GACGAACGUUGGCGGCGUGCUUAACACAUGCAAGUCGAACGGAAAGGCCUGCUUUCCCUUGUGGAUUGCGGGUACUCGAGUGGCGAACGGGUGAGUAACACGUGAGUGAUCUGCCCCCAACUUGGGUAUAAGCCUGGGAAACUGGGUCUAAUUCCCGAUAGGACUGCAGGGUGGUGCCUGUGGUGGAAAACGAUUUUCUAGUGGUUGGGGAUGAGCUCGCGGCCUAUCAGCUUGUUGGUGGGGUAAUGGCCUACCAAGGCGGCGACGGGUAGCCGGCCUGGGAGGGUGGACGGCCACAUUGGGACUGAGAUACGGCCCAGACUCCUACGGGAGGCAGCAGUGGGGAAUAUUGCACAAUGGGCGGAAGCCUGAUGCAGCGACGCCGCGUGGGGGAUGACGGCCUUCGGGUUGUAAACUCCUUUCGACCGCGAGGAAGCCACCUGGUUGGAAGGGUGGUGACGGUAGUGGUAGAAGAAGCACCGGCUAACUACGUG
rnacentral:rRNA from 1 species